rnacentral:rRNA from 1 species
UGGCGGACGGGUGAGUAAUGUCUGGGAAACUGCCCGAUGGAGGGGGAUAACUACUGGAAACGGUAGCUAAUACCGCAUAACGUCGCAAGACCAAAGAGGGGGACCUUCGGGCCUCUUGCCAUCGGAUGUGCCCAGAUGGGAUUAGCUAGUAGGUGGGGUAACGGCCUACCAAGCCGACGAUCCCUAGCUGGUCUGAGAGGAUGACCAGCCACACUGGAACUGAGACACGGUCCAG